CACACGACUCUCGGCAACGGAUAUCUCGGCUCUCGCAUCGAUGAAGAACGUAGCGAAAUGCGAUACCUGGUGUGAAUUGCAGAAUCCCGCGAACCAUCGAGUCUUUGAACGCAAGUUGCGCCCGAGACCAUUCGGUCGAGGGCACGCCUGCCUGGGCGUCAC
rnacentral:rRNA from 1 species